ACAUCCAGCGAACUUGGCAGAGAUGCCUCGGUGCCUUCGGGAACGCUGAGACAGGUGCUGCAUGGCUGUCGUCAGCUCGUGUUGUGAAAUGUUGGGUUAAGUCCCGNAACGAGCGCAACCCUUAUCCUUUGUUGCCAGCGAUUCGGUCGGGAACUCAAAGGAGACUGCCGGUGAUAAACCGGAGGAAGUGGGGAUGACGUCAAGUCAUCAUGGCCCUUACGAGUAGGGCUACACACGUGCUACAAUGGCGCAUACAAAGAGAAGCGACCUCGCGAGAGCAAGCGGACCUCAUAAAGUGCGUCGUAGUCCGGAUCGGAGUCUGCAACUCGACUCCGUGAAGUCGGAAUCGCUAGUAAUCGUGGAUCAGAAUGCCACGGUGAAUACGUUCCCGGGCCUUGUACACACCGCCCGUCACACCAUGGGAGUGGGUUGCAAAAGAAGUAGGUAGCUUAACCUUCGGGAGGGCGCUUACCACUUUGUGAUUCAUGACUGGGGUGAAGUCGUAACAAGGUAGGCGUAGCGAG
rnacentral:rRNA from 1 species